rnacentral:misc_RNA from 1 species
GCAACAAGUCUGUGUGUGGGUGUGGGGUGGGGUGGUGGGUCUUUUCACCUUUUCCUUCCUUCUUUUGCUGCCGGCUGGCUGUGGAAGGGGGAGGUGUGAGGAAAAAAGACAGACACCACGUCCCAUCAACAUAUCACACACAUAUAUGCUCUCCGGCGGUUGUCUGGAUGUGCACCAUGUCAUUUUACUCUUGUGGAUUAUAUAUUGUAGUGUUGAUUGUGUGUUUUGAAUUGUCAUGUA